rnacentral:pre_miRNA from 1 species
GUUGGUGCGAGGUGUUGUCUCGGUUCAACCUCAACACGACAUCAAUUAACGAAGGGUUUGAUUUUAGGGUUUGGUUGAGCCGCGUCAAUAUCCCAUGCCAUGAA